CUUGUUAAUAUUUAUUAAAGGUAAAAUUUUACUUGUAGAUUGAAGAUGUAUCUGACCUGUCCACCUACACAAAAAAAAUCCUGGACUGUGGCUAAACUUGACCAACUGACACUGUCCACAAGAAAAGCAUAUUAAGAGCUCUUGCUUUACAUAUUACAACAAAACGCACCCCAAUGCUGCAACAACUGCGCGAGAGCCUUGAGAUAUACGAUCUUAUCAAAGUCUCACAGAGAAAACCACAGGAGUGACACGGUCACAGGAUAUGAUGACAGAGUUGACUCCCAUUACAUUUUAUCCCACCUGGCCCCAGAGAUGAGCCCAAAUAGUUCAAUUAAACAAGUGAAAGAGUCAAAAAUCAUGGAAUUAUUUCAAGAUUUCCUACUUGAGCUUGAAGAUAUGGACUAAAAACUAGUAUAAGCUGUUAUUUGAUAUCCAGGUGUAAAUAUGCUACUGUAGUUCCCAUUUAACAAAAUGUUGCGCAGAAACCAAAAUUUGAUCUUACGAUCAUUUCUCAGAUGUGCGUACGUGUGAUUCAUAGAAUGAAUGUACACACAGAAAAGAGCGUAUGCUAGAUAAGGUUUAUCCAAGAAGUCGCUAGGCACUUUUUUGGAAAAAAAGUCAGUAAAUUGGCAACACUGAUGCAGCCUUCUGUCUGAGACGCACCCAGUUUUACUCCUCCAGCUCCCAAUUACCAAACUGGUUCUGCAUGUGUAUCGCACCAAUGUAUAUAUUUUGUGAUUAAUUAUAAAAGCUAUAUUCAAAAUAAACUGAUUAAACAUUAAUUCUAAUUUCAAAACACUGUAUGGGGCAAGCUUUGACAGAGUGUAGCAAAUUUGCUGAAAUUGUCUACUGUAGAAACCUGCAGUUUCAUUGAUUCAUGUAUACCAAAGCAUUAUUUCUUACAAUGUUCACUCUUUACUUUACUCUUAUGAAUGUUUUUAAAUGCAUA